UCAUUUUUUGGGGUUGGCUGCCCAUUUUGACUACGUUUACACGAAGCAGGGUAUUUUCCUAAACGAAUAUCUGGCCAUCUACGUUUGCAAAUAAAACUGCAUUUACACGAGACCGUUU